CACGUAGGCACCAAGCGUUGUCCGGAUUUAUUGGGCGUAAAGAGCGUGUAGGCGGCCAUGUAGGUCCGUUGUGAAAACUCGAGGCUCAACCUCGAGACGCCGAUGGAAACCAUGUGGCUAGAGUCCGGAAGAGGAGAGUGGAAUUCCCGGUGUAGCGGUGAAAUGCGCAGAUAUCAGGAAGAACACCCGUGGCUAAGGCGGCUCUCUAGUACGGUACUGACGCUGAGACGCGAAAGCGUGGGGAGCGAACAGG
rnacentral:rRNA from 1 species